UCAAGAGGGGUGCCCCUGUGCGGGGCUGAGAUUUUGAAGAAUUGACUUCUGAACCCUUGGAACUUGACGCGGUUAAUGCCGACGAAAGGACUUGA
rnacentral:ncRNA from 1 species